GGAUCUGUAGCUCAGUUGGUAGAGCGGGGGACUCUUAAUCCUCUGGCCGUUGGUUCGAGUCCAACCAGAUUCACCA
rnacentral:tRNA from 1 species